GUUAAUACCCUGUGUGGAUGACGGUACCGGAAUAAGAAGCACCGGCUAACUACGUGCCAGCAGCCGCGGUAAUACGUAGGGUGCGAGCGUUAAUCGGAAUUACUGGGCGUAAAGCGUGCGCAGGCGGUUUGUUAAGAUAGGCGUGAAAUCCCCGGGCUCAACCUGGGAACUGCGUUUAUGACUGGCAGGCUAGAGUAUGGCAGAGGGGGGUGGAAUUCCACGUGUAGCAGUGAAAUGCGUAGAGAUGUGGAGGAACACCGAUGGCGAAGGCAGCCCCCUGGGCCAAUACUGACGCUCAUGCACGAAAGCGUGGGUAGCAAACAGGAUUAGAUACCCUGGUAGUCCACGCCCUAAACGAUGUCAACUAGGUGUUGGGAGGGUAAAACCUUUUAGUACCGGAGCUAACGCGUGAAGUUGACCGCCUGGGGAGUACGGCCGCAAGGUUAAAACUCAAAGGAAUUGACGGGG
rnacentral:rRNA from 1 species